GGUGGGGGGGGGGGCCUUAAUACAUUGCAAGUCGAACGCUUUGUCUUUAAUUGAUCUGACGAGCUUGCUCUGAUUUGAUUUUAUCUGACAAAGAGUGGCGAACGGGUGAGUAACACGUGGGUAACCUACCUCUUAGCAGGGGAUAACAUUUGGAAACAAGUGCUAAUACCGUAUAAUACCAACAACCGCAUGGUUGUUGGUUGAAAGAUGGUUCUGCUAUCACUAAGAGAUGGACCCGCGGUGCAUUAGCUAGUUGGUAAGGUAACGGCUUACCAAGGCAAUGAUGCAUAGCCGAGUUGAGAGACUGAUCGGCCACAAUGGGACUGAGACACGGCCCAUACUCCUACGGGAGGCAGCAGUAGGGAAUCUUCCACAAUGGGCGCAAGCCUGAUGGAGCAACGCCGCGUGUGUGAUGAAGGGUUUCGGCUCGUAAAACACUGUUAUAAGAGAAGAACGGCACUGAGAGUAACUGUUCAGUGUGUGACGGUAUCUUACCAGAAAGGAACGGCUAAAUACGUGCCAGCAGCCGCGGUAAUACGUAUGUUCCAAGCGUUAUCCGGAUUUAUUGGGCGUAAAGCGAGCGCAGACGGUUAUUUAAGUCUGAAGUGAAAGCCCUCAGCUCAACUGAGGAAUGGCUUUGGAAACUGGAUGACUUGAGUGCAGUAGAGGAAAGUGGAACUCCAUGUGUAGCGGUGAAAUGCGUAGAUAUAUGGAAGAACACCAGUGGCGAAGGCGGCUUUCUGGACUGUAACUGACGUUGAGGCUCGAAAGUGUGGGUAGCAAACAGGAUUAGAUACCCCUGGUAGUCCACACCGUAAAACGAUGAGUGCUAGAUGUUCGAGGGUUUCCGCCCUUUGAGUGUCGCAGCUUACGCAUUAAGCACUCCGGCCUGGGGGAGUACGACCCGCAAGGUUGAAACUUCAAAGGAAUUUGACGGGGGACCCGCACAACGCGGUGGGAGCAUGUUGGUUUAUUUCGAAGCAACGCGAAGAAACCUUACCAAGUCUUGACAUCCCUUUGCCUAAUCCUAAAAAUAGGACGUCCCCU
rnacentral:rRNA from 1 species